UCUUCUUUCUAACAAGAGGACGCUAAAAUAAAAAUGAUAGCGAACUAGAAAGAUACUGACAGAAGCAAAAUCUCAAAUAAUAGACACCGGAGAGAACGAUCAUACCAGAUGAUAGCUAUCUUAGAGAACGCUAAUUUAACCAUCAGAGAGAGCACCCUAUUACAUACUGCCUCGCUCUUCUCUCUAUCGUAGUUCUUUCUCGCAGAGUAAGGUAAGGAUUAAAAAUUCAAUACUAGUUCCUAUGGCGUAAAGGAAAACAUUUCGGCUAUUACAUCUAUGGGUCAAUGGAGUCUCUAAAAGAGGGGAUGGAAGCAAGGUCCAAUCCCAUUAUUAUUUAUAAUACGAUCAUCUCACAGAUGAAGAAGUGAGCAAGCCUUUCUCCAAUGGAUUCUAACAGCGCAGACUAGGCAUCUUUAUCUGAUUUCAAUUUAUAUAUAAGUAAUAAAGCCCCUUGUUUCAAGGCUAGUCCCGGUUUAAUUGCUAUUUGAAUUUAGCUGCAUUGGCCGUAGAAUCAAAUAUGGACGGUGACUGACCACUAGAUCUGUCGAUCGAGACAGACCUUGCUUCACCACGCCCAAGCCGGAGGCUAAGUAGAGUUGAAUAAGGUGAAGAUGGAUACCGCCCAUAAAGAGCUUGGUUAAGUGGUAUGCCUUGCUGGUUGGAUCAGAAUACCUUCCCU
rnacentral:lncRNA from 1 species